CUUGUUCACCCGCCUAUAUACCGCCGUCGUCAGCUUAUCCUGUGAAGGACCCUUAAUAAGCAAAAUUGGUAAAGCCUAGUACGUCAGGUCGAGGUGUAGCGUACGGAAAGGGAAGCAAUGGGCUACAUUACCUACCGUAGGUAAUCACGGACGAUAUAUUGAAAAAUAUAUCUGAAGGAGGAUUUAGUAGUAAGAGAAGAGUAGAGAGCUUCUCUGAAACCGGCUCUGAAGCGCGCACACACCGCCCGUCACUCUCCCCGAGCUCCCAUCAACCUCAUAACUAAUAUUUCCAACUCUGCUGAGGGGAGGCAAGUCGUAACAUGGUAAGUGUACUGGAAAGUGCACUUGGAUAAAC
rnacentral:rRNA from 1 species